rnacentral:rRNA from 1 species
CCUACGGGUUGCAGCAGUAGGGAAUCUUCCGCAAUGGACGCAAGUCUGACGGAGCAACGCCGCGUGUGUGAAGAAGGUCUUCGGAUCGUAAAGCACUGUUGUUAGAGAAGAACAAGGACGUUAGUAACUGAACGUCCCCUGACGGUAUCUAACCAGAAAGCCACGGCUAACUACGUGCCAGCAGCCGCGGUAAUACGUAGGUGGCAAGCGUUGUCCGGAUUUAUUGGGCGUAAAGCGAGCGCAGGCGGUUUCUUAAGUCUGAUGUGAAAGCCCCCGGCUCAACCGGGGAGGGUCAUUGGAAACUGGGAGACUUGAGUGCAGAAGAGGAGAGUGGAAUUCCAUGUGUAGCGGUGAAAUGCGUAGAUAUAUGGAGGAACACCAGUGGCGAAGGCGGCUCUCUGGUCUGUAACUGACGCUGAGGCUCGAAAGCGUGGGGAGCAAACAGGAUUAGAUACCCCUGUAGUC